GGACCUACAGCCCUGAGCAAGGGCUGGAGAGCAGCACUGGGUGCAGAGCUUGUGAUGGAGGGAAGUACUGUCUGUACCAUAAUGCAACAGACGUGACUGGAGAGUGCUGGGAAGGCUACUACUGUGCACAGGCAUCAGACAGGCCCAACCCAGAGGCCAGGCUUCAAGGUCAGGCUGGCCCUUGUCCUCCAGGCCACUACUGUCCAAAGGGCACUGCUGUCCCCAAGCAUUGUCCUGUGGGAACCUUCAGCACAAGGAUCAAAUUGAGCUCAGAGACCCAGUGCUCCCCUUGUCUACCUGGACAUUACUGCAACUCCACUGGCCUCCAGACCCCUACAGGGCAAUGCAGAGAAGGGUUCUACUGCACACUGGGGUCCACCGUUGCCAGUGUUCCCA